AGCGUUUGUAACUUGUGUUUACAUUAGUUGCUUAGAAUUUUACACUUGUCUUCUUGGUGGCUUAUUUAAUUGAUAAAUCCAAAAGGCAAUCAUCGUUAACAUCUGGGGAAGAUGUUGUCAAAAUUAAGAACAGUGCAAUCAAAAAGAGAACGCGACAGAGGCUUGUGCUAAUACAAGAGUAAAUAUCGGCGUGGUGACAGCUCCGAGAUCUGAAGAGAUCUGACGCAAAUACGGCUUUUUAAAUGCUGAACAGAUCACCACCCAUGCAUGGCGAGACUGCGGCACGCUAACUGCUCACGUUUACACCGCUUGACGCUCGUCUGGUCAGGAUACCACCCUGCGGAGCUUCCCCCUGUGCUGCCACGCUACCGUAAGAGGCUCGCGUUCAGCUGUCUGCCGAGACUGGGAGACUGCGGGUGACUUUGUAGUGGAGGACAGAUGAUCCCUGUUUUUUCCAGAUCCAGGAGUGAGAGAGAAAGAGAGAGCAGGAGCUUUUUUCCUCGUCUCCACAGGGAGUGAAGAGAAAUACUGGAUCUGCAGUGUUUGGGAGCGAAUCGGUCUGGAAGCCAAACGAACCUGGCGUCACAUUGAUACAUCAGAAAUCAUAUCAUCAGCGAGAGGCUCAUUUUGCAUACUAACAGGAGAGGAGAGGGAGUCACACUUGUUCGAGAGGACACUCGUGGAAAGCCCACACAGCUCUCGGGCGCAGGCACCUGGAGGAUGUGAAUAUGAUAAGUUGUCACCUCGUCAUGGAGAUUCUCCAUUCGGCCUGGAGAGUGAGACAGUAAUAAUUUUACAGACCUUCACAGUUUCAAAAUAACUUUUAAUAUUAGAGCGGGGAAAAAAGCUGUUGAAUUAUAAACGCCCGCCGCUGCGGUUCUUUGACACCACCAUCUGUCUUUUUGAUGGAGAUGAGGAAAGAGAGAGAGAGGUACAGAGGUCAGCCCGUAACAUGGAGACGGCGAAAAAACCACAGCAGCUGCCGUAACGCCGAGACCGGAGAGUAUUUUCAUAUGCACUUCUCAUUGGGAAGCAAAUCAAACUGUGUGGUCGAUCUGAGGUGAAGGAAAGUCACUUAAAUUCUUAAACACAACAUGGGGCCUGACUGACUGCAUGUCACCUCUUUUUUCACACUGCAGAAACGGAAAACAUGUGAGAAGGAAUGGACGCCUCUGCAAUUGCUCCGACUUGGAUGCUGGCCUUCAUUUGUGUAGGAAAUGCCUGGUGUAAUGAUGCAAGUACACUUUCAUGAGAUGUAUUUACAAAACGAGCACCCCAAAAUGUUGUCAUUACCAGUGGGAACCUCUGGAUCGCUUUAAAGCCACUUUCUGAGGUUCAGAGUCAAUUAAAGAAUCAUGGUGAAAGCAAAUGGUUUCAGCAAUUGCUAAAACAGAAUAGUUCAUCCAGAAAUGAAAAUUCUGUCAGCA
ensembl:lncRNA